CAGGGAUCAAACCUGGCUCUCUUGCACUGCAGGCAGAUUCUUUACCAUCUGAGCCACCAGGAAGGCACCACUGAUUCACAGGCCAGUGAAUUUAUUUAUUUACCAAUUUUGUUUACCAAUAAAUAAAAUUGAAAACCCACUGGCAAUAAGAUGAUGGUGUUUGAUAUCUCCACGGAAGUCAUGAAGGCCAUAAUAAGCCACCAGCCUCACAGGGCUUGGAAACAUUUCCCCUAUCUUGGAGGACUUGGUAAUUUCUCCUGCCUUCAGCUGCAUUGUUUAUCUUACAAGAGGCAUCAUCUACUCCAUGUUCUUUCCUUAGGUUCCACAAAGCCUGACUGCUGUUUUGCGAGAAAAGACGGAAUGGUACCCAUUUCUCUGACCAUAAGCAUCUGCUUCUUUAAUACCCAAUCUGGGACUGAUACCUCUGCCACCAAUAUGCCAUCUCCCCAGCUUCAAAUGCAAUGAGGACACCAAGCUUCUAUGUAUGUAACGAGAUCAACAGCCAACAGGAGAAAAGAGGCUGAGGUGAAAACAGAAAAACAAUAGAGGAAAAAUGAUGCAGAAUUAAAGAGGCAACUGUACAAAAAGAAGAGGGGAAAGACACAGCCGGGAAGAUAGAAUUAAAAUCUUUCACCUCAAAUAGCAUCCUCCUGUUUUCAGGCACUAAGAAGCAUGUCUCAUCUACACAGCUGUCCAAAUGGCCUUGUUUUGCUCUGAGGAUGAGAACAGGCUUGAUUUAGGAGCCAUGUCUUGGAUUUCGUGUUUCUCAAUCUCACGCUCUGCCUGAUAGCUCCGGGUCAAGAUCUCCGGGCCAGAGCGGCAGUUCCCCCGGGCAGUGGACAUUGGGAGAUGGUCUCGGAGAAGAAAGCCCGCCUCCCAUGCUCACACCUCACCUUCCUGACUUGGAAAACACCUCCAGUUAAUGAGCAAACCUGGCGUCUGUCAGCUUUCUGUAAGCAAGCAUUUCACAAGGUUUACAGAAAAGUAAAGUAAACAA